AUGCACGCUGGCGGCGUGCUUAACCCAUGCAAGUCGCACGAAGCACUUAAGAUUGAUUCUUCGGAUGACGUCUUUUGUGACUUAGUGGCGGACGGGUGAGUAACGCGUGGGUAACCUGCCUCACACAGGGGGAUAACAGUUAGAAAUGACUGCUAAUACCGCAUAACCCGAUAGGAUCGCAUGAUCCAGACGGAAAAGAUUUAUCGGUGUGAGAUGGACCCGCGUCUGAUUAGCUAGUUGGUGAGGUAACGGCCCACCAAGGCGACGAUCAGUAGCCGGCCUGAGAGGGUGAACGGCCACAUUGGGACUGAGACACGGCCCAAACUCCUACGGGAGGCAGCAGUGGGGAAUAUUGCACAAUGGGGGAAACCCUGAUGCAGCGACGCCGCGUGAGUGAAGAAGUAUUUCGGUAUGUAAAGCUCUAUCAGCAGGGAAGAAAAUGACGGUACCUGACUAAGAAGCCCCGGCUAACUACGUG
rnacentral:rRNA from 1 species